rnacentral:rRNA from 1 species
AAAGGAAUUGACGGGGGCCCGCACAAGCGGCGGAGCAUGUGGAUUAAUUCGAUGCAACGCGAAGAACCUUACCUGGGUUUGACAUGCACUGGACCGGCGUAGAGAUACGCCUUCCCUUGUGGCUGGUGCACAGGUGGUGCAUGGCUGUCGUCAGCUCGUGUCGUGAGAUGUUGGGUUAAGUCCCGCAACGAGCGCAACCCUUGUCCCAUGUUGCCAGCGGGUAAUGCCGGGGACUCGUGGGAGACUGCCGGGGUCAACUCGGAGGAAGGUGGGGACGACGUCAAGUCAUCAUGCCCCUUAUGCCCAGGGCUUCACACAUGCUACAAUGGCCAGUACAGAGGGUUGCGAGACCGUGAGGUGGAGCGAAUCCCUUAAAGCUGGUCUCAGUUCGGAUCGUAGUCUGCAACUCGACUACGUGAAGUCGGAGUCGCUAGUAAUCGCAGAUCAGCAACGCUGCGGUGAAUACGUUCCCGGGCCUUGUACACACCGCCCGU